rnacentral:rRNA from 1 species
UACGUAGGGGGCGAGCGUUGUCCGGAUUUAUUGGGCGUAAAGAGCGUGUAGGCGGCCAGGUAGGUCCGUUGUGAAAACUCGAGGCUCAACCUCGAGACGUCGGCGGAAACCCUCUGGCUAGAGUCCGGAAGAGGAGAGUGGAAUUCCUGGUGUAGCGGUGAAAUGCGCAGAUAUCAGGAAGAACACCGGUGGCGAAGGCGGUUCUCUGGGCAUUACCUGACGCUGAGGAGCGAAAGUGUGGGGAGCGAACAGG